UACGUAGGGUGCGAGCGUUGUCCGGAUUUAUUGGGCGUAAAGAGCUCGUAGGCGGUUUGUCGCGUCGGCCGUGAAAUCUCCACGCUUAACGUGGAGCGUGCGGUCGAUACGGGCAGACUUGAGUUCGGUAGGGGAGACUGGAAUUCCUGGUGUAGCGGUGAAAUGCGCAGAUAUCAGGAGGAACACCGGGGGCGAAGGCGGGUCUCUGGGCCGAUACUGACGCUGAGGAGCGAAAGCGUGGGGAGCGAACAGG
rnacentral:rRNA from 1 species